rnacentral:rRNA from 1 species
AGUGAACGCUGGCGGUAGGCCUAACACAUGCAAGUCGAACGGCAGCACAGUAAGAGCUUGCUCUUACGGGUGGCGAGUGGCGGACGGGUGAGGAAUACAUCGGAAUCUACUUUUUCGUGGGGGAUAACGUAGGGAAACUUACGCUAAUACCGCAUACGACCUACGGGUGAAAGCAGUGGAUCUUCGGACCUUGCGCGAUUGAAUGAGCCGAUGUCGGAUUAGCUAGUUGGCGGGGUAAAGGCCCACCAAGGCGACGAUCCGUAGCUGGUCUGAGAGGAUGAUCGGCCACACUGGAACUGAGACACGGUCCAGACUCCUACGGGAGGCAGCAGUGGGGAAUAUGGGACAAUGGGCGCAAGCCUGAUCCAGCCAUACCGCGUGGGUGAAGAAGGCCUUCGGGUUGUAAAGCCCUUUUGUUGGGAAAGAAAAGCAGCAGGUUAAUACCCCGCUGUUCUGACGGUACCCAAAGAAUAAGCACCGGCUAACUUCGUG